UUUGACUGAAGGGGGGGCUCCUUUUGGACCUUCCGCUGAUAGAUUGGUCCGCGUCCCAUUAGCUAGUUGGUGGGGUAAAGGCCUACCAAGGCGACGAUGGGUAGCCGGCCUGAGAGGGUGUCCGGCCACACUGGGAUUGAGAUACGGCCCAGACUCCUUCGGGAGGCAGCAGUCGAGAAUCUUCCACAAUGUACGAAAGUAUGAUGGAGCGACGCCGCGUGUGUGAUGAAGGCUCAACGAGUUGUAAAGCACUGUCAGGGGGGAAGAAUCAGCGCAUAACUAAUAAAUAUGCGCUCUGACGUACCCCCAGAGGAAGCUCCGGCUAACUCCGUGCCAGCAGCCGCGGUAAUACGGAGGGAGCAAGCGUUGUCCGGAAUUAUUGGGCGUAAAGGGCACGCAGGCGGUUCGGUAAGUCGAAUGUGAAAUCUUACAGCUUAACUGUAAAACUGCGUUCGAAACUACCGAACUUGAGUACUGGAGAGGUAUGCGGAAUUCCUGGUGGAGCGGUGGAAUGCGUGGAUAUCAGGAAGAACACCGGUGGCGAAGGCGGCAUACUGGCCAAGUACUGACGCUCAGGUGCGAAAGCGUGGGGAGCAAACGGGAUUAGAUACCCCGGUAGUCCACGCUGUAAACGAUGGGUACUAGGUUUUGGAGGUCUCAACCCCUUCAGAGCCGCAGCUAACGCAUUAAGUACCCCGUCUGGGGAAUACGGUCGCAAGGCUGAAACUCAAAGGAAUUGACGGGGGCCCGCACAAGCGGUGGAGCAUGUGUUUUAAUUCGAAGCAACGCGAAGAACCUUACCAGGGUAUGACAUGUGAGCUUCGACCUUCGGGAAGAGGUUAAUCCUGUGAAAGCAGGACGAAUCACACAGGUGUUGCAUGGCUGUCGUCAGCUCGUGUCGUGAGAUGUUGGGUUAAGUCCCGCAACGAGCGCAACCCUUGCUGUUAGUUACCAUCGGGUAAUGCCGGGGACUCUAGCAGGACUGCCGGUGAUAAACCGGAGGAAGGUGGGGAUGAUGUCAAGUCAUUAUGACCCUUUACACCCUGGGCUAACCACGUGCUACAAUGGUCGGUACAAAGGGGAGCGAUACCGCGAGGUGGAGCAAAUCCCAAAAAGCCGGCCUCAGUACGGAUUGCAGUCUGCAACUCGACUGCAUGAAGCUGGAAUCGCUAGUAAUCGUGGAUCAGCAUGCC
rnacentral:rRNA from 1 species